rnacentral:tRNA from 1 species
CAAGAAGUAGUUUAAAAUGAAUAAAAUAAUAAUUUUGGAGAUUAUUGAUAAUUAAAAAUUAAUUUUUUUUGA